rnacentral:rRNA from 1 species
CCUUUGUGAACAUACCUAUAACUGUUGCUUCGGCGGGCAGGGUCUCCGUGACCCUCCCGGCCUCCCGCCCCCGGGCGGGUCGGCGCCCGCCGGAGGAUAACCAAACUCUGAUUUAACGACGUUUCUUCUGAGUGGUACAAGCAAAUAAUCAAAACUUUUAACAACGGAUCUCUUGGUUCUGGCAUCGAUGAAGAACGCAGCGAAAUGCGAUAAGUAAUGUGAAUUGCAGAAUUCAGUGAAUCAUCGAAUCUUUGAACGCACAUUGCGCCCGCCAGCAUUCUGGCGGGCAUGCCUGUUCGAGCGUCAUUUCAACCCUCAAGCUCUGCUUGGUGUUGGGGCCCUACAGCCGAUGUAGGCCCUCAAAGGUAGUGGCGGACCCUCCCGGAGCCUCCUUUGCGUAGUAACUUUACGUCUCGCACUGGGAUCCGGAGGGACUCUUGCCGUAAAACCCCCAAUUCUCCAAAGGUUGACCUCGGAUCAGGUAGGAAUACCCGCUGAACUUAAGCA